ensembl:lncRNA
CACAGAGAUGCCGAGGGUGGCAGGGGCAGCUGUAGGAUGACACAGAGAAGCUGGGGGCUGAGGGGCAAAGGAGAGGGGUUAAGGGUGACACAAAGGAACUGAAGGCUGGGAGGCAGAGGGACCUGUUGAGGGGUAAAGGGAGAGGCCUUGAGGGCUGGACAGUCCAGUGGAGAUCAGGGUUACUGGAUACAGCUGUACCACCCCUCACCCCAGCCCUAACCUCAGCCUAACCAGCUCCCCUAAAAACAGCCUUUUCUCCCAACAGCAGCACAACACAGCAACCCUAACAGCCAGACCAGACAGCAACCCUCACACACCAGGACAAUGACAGAACCCUCAGAGAACAACAGACCCACUGUGGGCUAGAGAGCAACAGGUAGAGUUUGGAGACUGAGCACGUCUUUUUGAGUUUUUUUUCCAGGACUUUUAAAGGUAUUUAGGGGAUUUUGGAAGGGACUUUUCUGGGACUUUUUAGGGUAUUGUUGGGGCUUUAUCAAAACCUUUAUUUUUAGGAAGUCAAGGCAGAGAGCAGCUGUCAAGGCUGAGUGGGCAAGGUGAGCAUUGAGUAGGGUACCGAAGCAGUUGUUAUUGCUGAGGUCUCAGUUUUUGGUGCAGCUCUAAGUAUGUAGUAUUCUUUUUAUUUUAGAUGGUCCGCUUGCCAUCUAUCCUAGCCCAGCAUGCCCAUGCCAGGUGGGUGCAAGCUUAAGGUAUUGGUGUGGCAUACUUGUAAGGGUUGGGAGUUGCGUUUUCACAGUAUCUCAGCAUGUUUUUCUGCUUUGUUUCUUUGCAGGUGCUGUCCCUGCCCUAGGUAUGCCAAGGAACAGAGGAGGGCAGGUACCUUCUGGGCGGCCUCCGGAGUCAAAUCAAGACUUGAGGUGAGCUGGGGCAGGGGUGCGGAGGACUCCCGGGGAUUACUCUUUUUGAGGGCAAUAGUCACAUUUUCUGUUUUGCCUUAGGUACCCUGGGGAGGCUUGUAGCCACAGCUUGGAAGCAGCAGCACCGAAGCACACACAUUGAGAACAUCUCAACGUCCGCGUCCAACCAACGAUGGCUUUUGUCCGCUCGUCUUCCAAAAGCUAAGUGUCGGGGCCAGUGGUUGGGAAAAGGGGAAAAGCCUUUACUCUCACAGGAGGCAAUCUGAUGUCAGGCUUAGCGGAGAGGUCUGUAGUGGGACGGGCUCUCUGGAAGUAAAGGGAGAGGGUUUUUCCUCAGCCUCACAAGAGCCUUUGCCAGGCAGGACAGUUCCGACCCAUCUCCACAUUCUUGUGAACUUUGCGCCAUCAGCCUUCCUCGACUCGACAUUGUCACGGCUCUUUCCCCCAAGGAGCUCGCCUUCGGGUCCGGAGCUAUAGCCACGGUCACCCGGCCGUCUGCUUCCUUCUCUAGGCUUGCUGAGCCUCUCGAGCAUCCUCCUAACUGCUUUGGCCCUAACUUCCUUUAAUGAGCUACAUUUCAUCAUCAUGUGCUGUCGUCGUAGGGCUUCCUUUCCCUUGGCCUCAUCGGCCUCUGGCUCAUCUUGCGCUAGGACUCUCGGGUCCCUAAGGGGAAAGUGCCAAGCAGUUGCAACUUGUGUCUGGGUUAUGUCAUCUGUGUCUAUGUUAUGGUGUCCGUGUCUGUGUUAUGUAGUCUGUGUCCAGUGUCUUCCAAGUCGUAGGCCUUUGCUACGUCUCGAUGCUUUAUCGGCACUCUUCUGUGCCAUAUAGGCCGUGUUCUACUCACAUUCCUUUCCGGAUAUCCCUUAUUCGGGCAUCUUUACAUUUUUACUCUUUCAGACAAGAAUGUCUGACUGGGACAAGAUGUUCUCAUCCAUCUUCCUUCUCAUUACCAGCUUUGGUAGUGCCUUUUUUCCAUUUUCUUGGAGUUCUAGAGGGAGUGUCUUACACCCUUCUCACAUGACUGCAGUAGUUCUAUAGAUUCCAUCUUCUCAAAGGGUAUAGGGCUCAAGAAUUCAUCUUU